AAGUGGGGAGCGGAGAGAGAGGCAGGUCUAGAUGCAGAUGGUCUGUUUCCCCUAACAACAGCAACGGCGGCGAGGAGAAAUCCUGGUCUCCGCCAGCUCCCGGCCAGACUCGUAAUCAGGCCACUAACGACAGCGGGGAGCGUAAAAGUUCUCUUCCCUACCCACCUCGCGUGAUGCGGUGACACAGAAUGAAAUUCACAACACACAUGGAGAAAAGGAAAACAACCAAUCCUUCCCCAGAACGGAACAGCUAAGAGCCAACGCUACUGAAAACCAUGGGGCAGGCAUCUCCACCGAGUGCAGGGAAGAGGCCAGGAGAAGACCCAGGAAAUAAAUUUAAAAAGGGACAGCCUUUGAGCUGGUCCCUGACCGGUGAGCAAGACUUAGCUGUUCAGGAAAGCUGUGUGGCUGGAGCAGAGAAUAUACUGGAAAUCAGAGAGGUCAAAAACAAUGAGCAGGAGAUAUCGGAAGAAAUGUUCCUAACCACUUCACUCUUCCAAAGCCUUCACCCAUCUCUGGUGAAUAUAUCUAGGUCCAGCAGGGUCUCAGAAGCAGAUGCCAACCUGAGGGGAAUAUUUACCAGAUGACGUGAAGGCCGUGGAAAAAGAAGAAAUUGGAAAAUUCAUUAUUUAAGUGUGCCAGGCUCAGCUCAAAUUAGCAAGUGAUGAUAAAUUCCUGGAGGCCUAGAACUCCGUGUUCUUCAUCUCCCAGUACAGUGCCUUUCGACAUAAAUAGAUGGUUGCUGAACUCCCCUCAAAGAGACAGGUACCUGUGGGCUGCAUCACCACCAGCGAACCCAGCAGACAGCACAGAUGCCUGCAUUCAGCUAGGUAGGAAACUAACCAUGUAAGCAGUGAAAAGCAUGUCAAGACAGCUAGGAAAAACCAUUAAAGUGAGUGGUAAACUGUUGAAAGGCUAACGUGAAUCACUAAACUAGAGAAGCUAGGAGUCAGGAGACCUGAGAACUAACCCUGAUGAUGCCCUUAAAUACCUUCUUUGCUUAAGACAAUUUAAUAUCUUAACCUUUGAGAAAAUAGGAAGCCUAUCACAAGACAGGCAAAAGGAACUUCCCUGCCACUGUCUCCCCUUGUUACCAAAUUAACGAUGGCACCUUACACACAGUCAAUAGUGCCUCAGAACCAAGAAAUCAUUUCUGAUCUUGAACAAUGCAUUUAAUGUCUGUAUGUUAAGAUGACAGCUCCUUGUCACACAGUUUAAUGGUCCAGGCUCACAUAUUUAGGAAACCAGGAUUGAAAAGCCAACUCAAAUGCUAUCAUCAUUAAGUUUUUUUAAAUUAUUAUUAUUUUCUGUAGCUCAGGCUGGAGUGCAAUGGUGCAAUCUCAGCUCACUGCAACCUCCAACUCUUGUAUUCAAGCUAUUCUCCCACCUCAGCCUCCCGAGCAGCUGGGACUACAGGUGCAUGCCACCACACCAGGCUAAUUUUUGUAUUUUUUGUAGAGAUGGAGUUUCACCGUGUUACCCAGACUGGUCUCAAACUCCUGAACUCAAGUAAUCCAGCUGCCUCAGCCUCCCAAAGUGUUGGGAUUACAAGUGUGACAUUAAGCAAGUUUUUAUCAAGCUUGUACCAUGUACCUUGUCAGCAAUGGGGUUUCCCAGAUUGAAUCCCAAUCCCAGCAUUGGAGUUUCCCAGAUUGCUUCCCCUUGAAGCACUGGGGUUUCCCAGAUCAGGGCUCGCCUCUCACUGCCCACCAGGUAUAACUUUUCUGAAAUCACCAAUUAUAUGCCUGUUAUCUGUGCAUGCAAUUUAGAACUUUGGCUACACACUGAGGGUGGCAGGAGUAUAUAUGCUGGUUAUACACCAAGUUCUAGCUUAACGUGAUUGUUUUGUAAGAAGACUAUCUCACCAAUAAAAUUUUAAGUUGUACAUACCAAGGCCAAUGUUUUUCUUAGCAAUUUACCUAUUAUAGCAGAGCUAACCUUCAGAUCACCUCAGUCCAGGGAACUUACCUGCAAAACCCAAAUAAAUAGAAACAAACCUCUGGAUUCUGAAAUAGGGGCCAUCAAAAGCCAGGCCCUUGAUCUCAGAGCUUCAUUAACCGACUGUAACACAAUUCUGAACAAGCUUCAUUACUGAGCUUCCCAUUACAGAGAUUAGGCUUCUAAUCAGCAAUAAAGCAUGUCAAAUAGCAUUACUGUCUCUCCUAUAGGAACCAGACACACCAAACACACCAGAAAAUGUGGUGACAGGGGGGUUAUUCAUUGAUACAAAUGGCAAUUAAAAAUCUCAGCCCUUAUAAUUAUCAACAGUCCACUUAAAAAUCAGUUUGUUGUAAGUUCUUUUUAUCACUAGUUUUUGUUUUUUCUUUCUUAAAAUAUUAUACUUUUAGAGACAGAGUCUCACUCUGCCACCCAGG
rnacentral:lncRNA from 1 species